rnacentral:rRNA from 1 species
GAUGAACGCUGGCGGCGUGCCUAAUACAUGCAAGUCGAGCGAACAGACGAGGAGCUUGCUCCUCUGACGUUAGCGGCGGACGGGUGAGUAACACGUGGAUAACCUACCUAUAAGACUGGGAUAACUUCGGGAAACCGGAGCUAAUACCGGAUAAUAUAUUGAACCGCAUGGUUCAAUAGUGAAAGACGGUUUUGCUGUCACUUAUAGAUGGAUCCGCGCCGCAUUAGCUAGUUGGUAAGGUAACGGCUUACCAAGGCAACGAUGCGUAGCCGACCUGAGAGGGUGGUCCGCCCCCACUGGACUUGAACCCCGACCCCAGCCCCAACGGAGGGCCGCGUGGGGGAUUUUCCCCAAAUGGGCGAAACCCUGCCGAAGCAACGCCGCGGGGUUGAAGAAGGUCUUCGGUCUGUAAAACUUUUUUAUUGGGGAAAAAAAAAGUUGUAAGUAACUAUGCCCGUUUUGCCGGUACCUAUAAAGAAGCCCCCGCCUACCUACGU